GGAAUCACAAUUUUUUAUCUAAACAGGGACUUACCCAGGAAGAAAGGGAGGGAAACAGGGUCAGAGGAGGAAAAAUAGGUCAAAGGAGAAGUAGUAUCACUCUCAGCGGUGUGUGUUGUAUCACACAAGGAUCAAGGGCCUGUUUUCCAAAGGAUGGAUACGAAGGGGAGAGUCUUAUCACCAGAAAGAUGACUGAGUCAGAAGGAAAGAAGAAUGAAGAUCAUGGAGUGCUCAGCCUGCUGGGAAGGUGUCUGCAGAGCUUAUCUUCCUCACCAGCCUGUUGCUUCUCUAAGAGGUUUUCAGAGGUUUUCACAUGAGUGAAGGGAAACCAGAAAAUUGGAUUUUCA
rnacentral:lncRNA from 1 species